rnacentral:lncRNA from 1 species
UUUAUUAUAAGUUGUAACACUUGGCUAGUUUUGUUUGUAUAUGUCUUAAAAUGUUUUCUUAUGAUAUUUAAGUGACAGUUAAAGAGGUAUCAAGGUAACUUGUGUAGAACUAUUGUUUGAUAUAUUGUCAUGUUUGUUGUGAAUAUUUUUUCUUACUGCACAGUAGAAAAAUAAAAGCAACUGGUCUUUAUUUUAAUGUAAUUCAGAUUGGGAAAAACAAAACAGAGCUAAGGGAACAAAAUGACUGCGGGAGCACUCUCCCAAGUCCAGUGCACUGAUCAUUUUAGUAUGUUUGUGCUUUGUACGGUUAUAUAUUUAAAACAAAAAACAAAACAAAAAAAUACAAGAGUUCAUGCUCUUCCCUGGGUAAUAGAAACAGUUACUCGCUAUGCAUAAUCUAGUUGAUAGUUAAAUUUGCUAUUGCUUUUCUUGUCUUGUUAUAUAAAAUCUUUUCAAUACAAGUUUAGUCUUAAUGGUAAUAAAAUGUUAUGGUUAUUUAUAACUUGUGCUUAUUUUGUGCAUUUUUUCCCAUGCUGAACCCACUAACUGCAUGUAGACAGGACUGUUGUUUUCACACUGAAGAGGCAAACUUUGUAGUAGUCGUCGUAGUGGUAGACAGAUCAUGAAAACCAAGGCUGCAUCAUAGACUCCUCCUUUAAAUUUUUUUUCCUCUUUUUCAGUUUUGGAAAAAAAAAACACCAGAUUUCAGUUCAGAGAACACUUGUUCAACAUUCAGGGAAAACUUUUUACAUCACCUGCUAUGAAUGAACGCAGUUUGCUGGCAAAGUUUUGUUGCAUUUGCUAAGCAUUAGUGGGAAAGGCAUGCCAAAAUCUCUUCUCUAUAAUGUGUUCAAUCUGGGGGAAAAAAGGAAAAAAAAACCUUUAGGACCAGGCAGUGUAUUCUUUAGUUGUAAAUGAAUGACUUCAUGUUAAUCUUGCUAGUUUAGAUGAUUUCUGAGGGAAAGUAUUGUAAAUGUUUUUUUCAUAAUCUUGUUGUGUUUGAAUUAUUUGUACUUUAUCUGUCCAGACAAUAAAUGAAAGUGUGUAGAAUGA